rnacentral:rRNA from 1 species
CUUAAGGGGCCCUGGGCGAGGUUGCAAGGCGAAUAUCGCCUCUUACCCGCUCCACUUGCGCGUAUCAAUAAGCGGAGGAAAAGAAACUAACAAGGAUUCCCCUAGUAACUGCGAGUGAAGCGGGAAGAGCUCAAAUUUUGAAUCUGGCGCUGUUUGGCCGUUCGAGUUGUAAUCUAGAGAAGCGUCAUCCGCACUGGACCGUGUACAAGUCUCCUGGAAGUGAGCGUCAUCGAGGGUGAGGAUCCCGUCUUUGACACGAACUACCAGUGCUAUGUGAUGCCCUCUCGACGAGACGAGUUGCUUGGGAAUGCAGCUCCAAAUGGGUGGUAAAUUCCAUCUAAAGCUAAAUACAGGCGAGAGACCGAUUGCGAACCAGUCCUGUGAGGGUGAAGAUGAAAAGAACUUUGGAAAUAGAGUUAAACAUUAUGUGAAAUUACUGAAAGGGAAACGCUUGAUGUCAGUCACGUUGGCUAGGGAUCAACCUUGCUUCUCGCUGGGUGUAUUUCCUAGUGGACGGGUCAGAAUCAGUUUCGGUCGCUGUACAAGGGCAAAGGGAACGUGGCACUCCUUGCAGUGUGUUAUAGCCAUUCGUCGUAUGCAGUGGUUGGGACUGAGAAACUCGGCACGAAAUCUAUUUUGUGCUUAGGAUGCUGGCAUAAUGGCCUUAAGCGACCCGUCUCGAGACACGGAAGAGGCGAGAUGCCCGCGCCCGCCUUAAAAA